rnacentral:lncRNA from 1 species
ACUAUCUGCCUUAUUCAUUGCAACUUUCUCAUAUUCUUACGUGAUCAAAACACAUAUAGAUAGGGCUGCUGUGGAUAGCAUGCUACACAUCGUGUGUGUAGAAGUUGUCAAUGCUCCGAUUAAGUGAUGUCUUCAAUUUCAUUGUAUGCUGUCUGUCAACAAAUUCAACCAAAACAUGCUUGGUUUGUCAGCUGGAAAUAUGGGCCAUAUUAUUUUAAAUAGAUGUAG